rnacentral:rRNA from 1 species
GGCUCAGGAUGAACGCUGGCGGCGUGCCUAACACAUGCAAGUCGAACGGAGUUUUUUCUUCGGAGAAAACUUAGUGGCGGACGGGUGAGUAACGCGUGAGAAUCUGCCUUCAGGAUGGGGGCAACAACCGGAAACAGUUGCUAAUACCCAAUGUGCCGAGAGGUGAAAAAUUUAUUGCCUGAAGAGGAGCUCGCGUCUGAUUAGCUAGUUGGUGGGGUAAAAGCCUACCAAGGCAACGAUCAGUAGCUGGUCUGAGAGGAUGAGCAGCCACACUGGGACUGAGACACGGCCCAGACUCCUACGGGAGGCAGCAGUGGGGAAUUUUCCGCAAUGGGCGAAAGCCUGACGGAGCAACGCCGCGUGAGGGAGGAAGGCCCUUGGGUUGUAAACCUCUUUUGUUAGGGAAGAAGAAAGUGACGGUACCUAACGAAUAAGCAUCGGCUAACUCCGUGCCAGCAGCCGCGGUAAUACGGAGGAUGCAAGCGUUAUCCGGAAUUAUUGGGCGUAAAGGGUCCGCAGGUGGCUUUGCAAGUCUGCUGUUAAAGAAUCAGGCUUAACCUGAUCAAAGCAGUGGAAACUGUGAAGCUAGAGUUCAGUAGGGGUAGCGGGAAUUCCCAGUGUAGCGGUGAAAUGCGUAGAGAUUGGGAAGAACAUCGGUGGCGAAAGCGCGCUAUUGGGCUGAAACUGACACUAAGGGACGAAAGCUAGGGUAGCGAAAGGGAUUAGAUACCCCUGUAGUCCUAGCCGAAACGA